rnacentral:misc_RNA from 1 species
GAUGAAGAACGUAGCGAAAUGCGAUACGUAAUGUGAAUUGCAGAAUUCAGUGAAUCAUCGAAUCUUUGAACGCAUAUUGCGCUCUUUGGUAUUCCGAAGAGCAUGCUUGUUUGAGUAUCAGUAAACACCUCAACCUCUUCUUGAUUUUUCAAAAGGAGGGUGGACUUGAGCUAUCCCAACAACCUUUACCGGUCGGCGGGCGGCUUGAAAUGCAGGUGCAGCUGGACUUUUAUCUGAGCUAAAAGCAUAUCUAUUUAGUCCUCGUCAAACAGGAUUAUUACUUUUGCUGCAGCUAACAUAAAGGAUAAUUGUCCUCUUUGCUGAUUGAUGCAGGAUUUUACGACACUUUAUGUGUUGUUCAACUCGAUCUCAAAUCAAGUAAGACUACCCGCUGAACUUAAGCAUAUCAAUAAGCGGAGGA